UACGAAGGGGGCUAGCGUUGCUCGGAAUCACUGGGCGUAAAGGGUGCGUAGGCGGGCCUUUAAGUCAGGGGUGAAAUCCUGGAGCUCAACUCCAGAACUGCCUUUGAUACUGAGGAUCUUGAGUUCGGGAGAGGUGAGUGGAACUGCGAGUGUAGAGGUGAAAUUCGUAGAUAUUCGCAAGAACACCAGUGGCGAAGGCGGCUCGCUGGCCCGAUACUGACGCUGAGGCACGAAAGCGUGGGGAGCAAACAGG
rnacentral:rRNA from 1 species